GUUUGCCAUUGCUUAGUGAUGGUGCAGCUAAAGAUAAUGAGCUUUAGUAUGCUAAUGAAUCAUAUUUUGCUGGUCAUACUUUUUAUUUUUAAAAACUGCUUCAUGAGUCACUAUAGGCUUUGCAGCUCAGGAUGAUUCCCCUCAAUCUUGUGGCCAAGCCUGGCAUGACUACAGUAACAGCCUGAAAGCCCAUCGAUCACCCAAGCAAUCCCCAUAGUCCUUAGGAGACUAUGAAAGACAUGUUUGAAACGUCAAAUACCCUUCCAUCUACUAAGCCCCAAGCCCGGAUGAACAGAGAUGUGGAGGCUUUAGCUUGUUCAGUGUCUAGAAGCGCUGCCCGCCUUUUAUUUUGUUAGAGGAGAAGGAGGAAGAGGAGGAGGAAGAAGAAGAAAAGGAAGAGGAGAAGGAACAGGAAGAGGAGGAGAAGGAGGAAAGGGUGAGGGAGAAGGAAGAGGAGGAGGAGGAGGAAGAGAACAGUGACUGGAAAGAUGGGUGGGACCACUUUGAAGAACUAUAAACUCUAAACAAAAGAGUCUAUAUUUAAUCCUAGAUUAAAUUUCACUUAACUCUAUUUGCCUCCGUUUUCUCAUUAUAAAAGGAGCUGGAGAAGGAAACACCAAACCACUCUAGUAUCUUUGCCAAGAAAACCCCAAAUAGGGUCAGGAAAAGUCAGAAACUGCUGAAGUAAUUGAAUAACAAUAAAGUUUACAGGAGAGGGAAAAGACA
rnacentral:lncRNA from 1 species